UAGACGUCUAGUAUUUUUUUAGACCUGAUUUCAACCGUCUAGAUUCCGUCUGUUUUUAGACGGAAUUUAGACGUUGCAGUUUAAUCAAUUAUUCUAUAAUUAUUUAUUAAAAAAAACAACUGUAAGGUGCAUAGCUAAUCUCCAAAUACUGAACUAAUAUAAUUAUGAAAGCUGUUGAGCGAUAUACAGUAUAGUAUAAAUAUAGCCGAGAUUUAGACGUCUAAAUCUCUACCGCAUUUCAACGUCUAGAUAUAGACCGAAUCUAGACAACUGAAUUUAAUCCAUUAUUUAAAAGUUGUUUAUUUAAAACAAUAACUACAAGUUGCAAAACUGAUCUCUAAAUAUUGGAUUGAGAUCAUUUUAAUAGCCGUUGAGCGAUAUACAGUAUAGUAUAAAUAUAGCCGAGAUUUAGACAUCUAAAUCUCUACCGCAUUUCAACGUCUAGAUAUAGACCGAAUCUAGACAACUGAAUUUAAUCCAUCAUUCAGUACUUUAAACAAUAACUACACGUUGCAAAACUGAUCUCUAAAUAUUGGAUUGAGAUCAUUUUAAUAGCCAUACUCGUUAUAAGGUAUAGUUUAGAUGUAGACGUCUAAAAUCCCUAAUUUCAGCGUCGAUAAUUACACCAUUCAAUUUAUUUUACAUCUUUAGAAUACAGGAAAACAAAAAUCUGAUGGAAGAGCCAACUCUUUGAAGUGCACAGCUUUCACAGUAGAGUGAUCGGUGUUUUCGCGUUAUUCCAUCAAAACGUAUGAAACCUCCACAAAACCUUCGGUAAAUCUGAAAGCCCAGAUCCUGCUGAGCACUCGACAACGAAGUUUGUGGCUGAAAUUCCCUUAGAUUAUUAGAUGUCGGUUGUGUUUUCUCAGCCUCUGUAACGCUGACUGCCACCAUGUUGCUUUCGUUGUUGACAAAAACCUCUUUGGUGUACUACGCUCACGUGACGCACCUUGCAACCACUUCUGGGAAACGUUCUUCCGCUCAAAGAGAAGUAGUCCGUGAUAAAACUUAACUACUUUACAGUCUUGUGGAGAUUGUACGACCAUAACCUGAAAACGCCUUCAACUUGUGCCUGUGGACUGCGCUACUUCCAACUGUGAAAUCCUUGUGCUCAUGCGCUCCACUGUACUGAAACAACCGCAGAAAAGUUGGUCGAAGAAGUGCUGUUUCAGGCAUACAGAGGUGGGUGUCGCAGCAACUACUACAGAAAUUUUUUUAUUUUUGCAAUGUUUGGUCCUUUUACCGUCAUUCAUUAAUUUAGCAUUUGCUUAUUUUAAUUAAGGGCCUGCUCUCUCUGUAGGAAUUGAGGUUAAAAGCUUCUGCUUCGGCUAUUUUCCAAACAUUUUACUGUUUAACUUCGAAGACGAGAUAUAUUCAGAUGCCAAUACUUGACCAUAAUACACAUAAUUCACCAUAAUUCAUAAUACAAUAGGCAGCCACAUUUGCAGUUUUUCUUCAUUUGUUCUAUUGCUUUGUUUGCAGAAGCAAUUCGGAAGAAUUUUAAGGAGGCUACAGACGACCAAAUCCGCUUGGCCAUGGGAUUCUAUUUCAAACAGGCCCCAGCUCGGACUGGUGGAGGGGGGUACAGGAGACCCAGGACACCAGUGGUGUAGUUUUAUUUUAAAGGUUUGGUUUGCAGCAAUAAAACAAACAAACAAAAAAAAUAUAUAUAAAAAAAUGUUGUUGUUAUUGUUAUGGUUUUAAUUUUGUAUUUACAAGUUGUUCUAUUUUUUCAGUGCAAUGUUUAUGUAACCCAGCUCCAGAAGGGUUAAUAAAUAAAAUCAAUUAAUUUGCAGUCAUUAUUUAAUUAUUUCCUUAUGUUUAUAAGUGUUUUGUAUUUUACUUUGAAAAACCUGAAGUUUAUUUUGAAGACCGGAAGUAGUAGGCCGCGCUAGUGAAGCAGUUUAACCUCACUAAUGCACAGACGGAGCACGCCACUUCACUUCCGCGUGAGAGAGAAAAACGGGAAAAAAGGUAUGGAAACUGUACAAUUUCGCAGUCAAACUGAGAAAUGAAGUAGUUGUUGAUACCAUGCUCCGAAAACUCCGUUUCAGAGAGGAAAAACCGUCGUUGAAGCACUUUCCGGCCGCGUUUCUCCUGAAAAAACCAUUGGUCAGGUUCUAUUGUGAUGCUUGGAAAGAGUGAAGCUUCAGCUUUCAUGUCUGACGAAGCUGAUGAGCGAUCCAACUGAUGGCGAGCUCCCAGUCCACCUUCGGUGCUUCAAGCAGAACUUUUAAUUCCGCCACACCACUUAAUGGAUUAAGUGGUAGGAUUUGUGUCAGUCCAACUGACCGGCAGCAACGAAAGCCUUCCUUGGAUAUCCUUGAAUCUUGACUUUUGACUUUUGGAUCCAAACCACCGAGGAACACUCCCAUUUGGACAUUUAUUUAUUUUAUUUUAUUUCUUAGUUUAUGGGCCCAAGGUUGUAAUGUUAUUGUGUUUAGUAUUGUUAAGAUCUUUGUGGAACUAAAGAGUUUCAAAUCAUUC